CAGAGGUGGCAAGCGUUGUUCGGAAUUACUGGGCGUAAAGGGCGCGUAGGCGGCCUUCUAAGUCAGACGUGAAAUCCCCAGGCUUAACUUGGGAACUGCGUCUGAUACUGGAGGGCUCGAGUGCGGGAGAGGGAUGUGGAAUUCCAGGUGUAGCGGUGAAAUGCGUAGAUAUCUGGAGGAACACCGGUGGCGAAGGCGGCAUCCUGGACCGACACUGACGCUGAGGCGCGAAAGCUAGGGGAGCAAACGGGAUUAGAUACCCCGGUAGUCCUAGCCCUAAACGAGGAGUGCUUGGUGUGGCGGGUAUCGAUCCCUGCCGUGCCGAAGCUAACGCAUUAAGCACUCCGCCUGGGGAGUACGGUCGCAAGGCUG
rnacentral:rRNA from 1 species